GCAAGCUACACACCAGGAACCUGCUGGCUCUGCCAUGAGCCUGUGUGCCACCAGCCUGGAGGUAUGAGCGUGUUGGGCUGCAGAUUGUGGAGAGCACUCCAGAGCUGGGUAUGCCCCAAAGCCAGGCAAUCCUGGUUUGGGCAACACCCACCCCCAUCAAUGGGAACCAUCGCUGAGGAACCUUCAAGAAGAUGAGCACAGCAGGCUUAAGUCAUCUUCCUUCUGCCUCAUCUUACCCCCAUAUAUCACUGGAAAUAAUAAGAGACGUGAGAUUUUAUGCCAGCAGGGAAAGCAGAACCCCCCAGAGCAGAAGGAAGAGGCUACAGGUAUUAGCCAAAGAUGCCACCUUCAGCUUGAGGAAGUGCAGCCGUUCUCCACCAGUGAAACGUCCAACUUCCUUCUGUUAGUGUAACGGUGUAUUUAAUUAUUUAAUGUUCAGCUGAAUCUUUAAAUUGGCUUUGCAAUAAGCAGCCCUCGUUUACAUUUUUAUGAUAGAAAAGCUGUAUUAUCAUCAGAAGGUUUUGAUUUUUAUCGUGGUAACUUCAUAAGGUGCUUUUUUUUUUUUGCUUUUUUUUUUUUAAAUGUUCUGCACAUUUAUUAUUUUCAAUACUUUCAUUGCUAAAAUUUUCCUGGAUGUUCAGGUUUAAAUAAUCAAAUAAUCAUCUUAUAACCUAAGCCUUAGCAUCUAUUUAGUUGAUUGCUUCCCCUUAUGUUGCGCCCAGUUUCCAAACUAUGUUCAGACAAGGCCUUCAUGUUUCAAUUUAGGACACUAAUUCUUGUCUUUUUUUUUUUAAAAAAAAAAACAAAGUUAAGACUUCACUUUUUCCUGUACUUUGUUUUAAAUAACAGAAGUCCAUAAAAGUAU
rnacentral:lncRNA from 1 species